rnacentral:rRNA from 1 species
GUGGGGAAUUUUGGACAAUGGGCGCAAGCCUGAUCCAGCCAUGCCGCGUGCAGGAUGAAGGCCCUCGGGUUGUAAACUGCUUUUGUACGGAACGAAAAGCCUCUUUCUAAUAAAGAGGGGUGAUGACGGUACCGUAAGAAUAAGCACCGGCUAACUACGUGCCAGCAGCCGCGGUAAUACGUAGGGUGCGAGCGUUAAUCGGAAUUACUGGGCGUAAAGCGUGCGCAGGCGGUCUUGCAAGACAGUGGUGAAAUCCCCGGGCUCAACCUGGGAACUGCCAUUGUGACUGCAAGGCUGGAGUACGGCAGAGGGUGAUGGAAUUCCGCGUGUAGCAGUGAAAUGCGUAGAUAUGCGGAGGAACACCGAUGGCGAAGGCAGUCCCCUGGGCCUGUACUGACGCUCAUGCACGAAAGCGUGGGGAGCAAACA